rnacentral:rRNA from 1 species
AUCUGGUUGAUCCUGGCUGAACUGAUAUGUUUCUUUCAAAGAUUUAGCCAUGCAUGUCUAAGUGGAGUAUUAUAUAGCGAAACUGCGAACGGCUCAUUACAACAGAUAUAAUUUACUAGUUCUUGUUUCUAUAUGGAUAACUGCGGUAAUUCUGGAGCCAAUACAUGCAUCAAGCCCUGGCCGUCCGGUUAGGGUGCAAUUAUUGGAGCAAAACCAGUCUCGUACUGUUUGCUAACUCAGGAUAAUUCUGCAUAUCGCAUGGUCUUGUACCGGCGAAGUUUCUUUCAAGUAUCUGCUUUAUCAACUAUCGUUGGUAGUUUAUUGGUCUACCAUGGUGUUGACGGGUAACGGGGAAUCAGGGAA